rnacentral:lncRNA from 1 species
AAACUCAAGGAAGAAGAUUAUGGUAGAUGCAUGAUUAAAGUUCAUGGAAAGGGGGAGAACAAACACGAGUUUGAGGAUGACAUUUUCUGAUUUUCUCUAAAAUUAUUUUUAAUAUUUAUAAUCAAUUAAAAAUUUAAUUAAGAAAUAAAAUUAGAAUUUUAUAUUGCCCUUUUUUUUUUCAUUUAAUGACGUGGUGCCGCAUACUCUAGGCCUCGACA